GGUGGGUUAGCUCAGUGGUUAGAGCGUAGGUCUCCUAAACAAAAGGUUGCGCAGAUCGAAUCCCGCUAGAGGCUG
rnacentral:tRNA from 1 species